rnacentral:rRNA from 1 species
AACGAACGCUGGCGGCAUGCCUAACACAUGCAAGUCGAACGAUGCCUUCGGGCAUAGUGGCGCACGGGUGCGUAACGCGUGGGAAUCUGCCUUUCGGUUCGGAAUAACUCAGGGAAACUUGAGCUAAUACCGGAUAACGUCGCAAGACCAAAGAUUUAUCACCGAAAGAUGAGCCCGCGUAGGAUUAGCUAGUUGGUGAGGUAAAGGCUCACCAAGGCGACGAUCCUUAGCUGGUCUGAGAGGAUGAUCAGCCACACUGGGACUGAGACACGGCCCAGACUCCUACGGGAGGCAGCAGUGGGGAAUAUUGGACAAUGGGCGAAAGCCUGAUCCAGCAAUGCCGCGUGAGUGAUGAAGGCCGUAGGGUUGUAAAGCUCUUUUACCCGGGAAGAUAAUGACGGUACCGGGAGAAUAAGCCCCGGCUAACUCCGUG